rnacentral:rRNA from 1 species
GAUGAACGCUGGCGGCGUGCCUAAUACAUGCAAGUCGAGCGAACGGACGAGAAGCUUGCUUCUCUGAUGUUAGCGGCGGACGGGUGAGUAACACGUGGAUAACCUACCUAUAAGACUGGGAUAACUUCGGGAAACCGGAGCUAAUACCGGAUGAUAUUUUGAACCGCAUGGUUCAAACGUGAAAGACGGUCUUGAUGUCACUUCUAGAUGUAUCCGCGCUGCAUUAGCUAGUUGGUAAGGUAACGGCUUACCAAGGCAACGAUGCAUAGCCGACCUGAGAGAGGGACCGGCCACGCUCGGACUGAGUGACGAGCCAGACUCCGACGGGAGGCAGCAGUAGGGAAUCUUCCGCGAUGGGCGAGAGGCUGACGGAGCAACGCCGCGUGAGUUAUGAAGGUCAUCGGAUCGUAAAACACUGUUAUUAGGGAAGAACAAAUGUGUAAGUAACUGUGCACAUCUUGACGGUACCUAAGCAGAAAGCCACGGCUAACUACGUG